rnacentral:rRNA from 1 species
AUGGUGGCAAGUGAGCGAGGAUCGGGUCGUCGCAUCCUUAGUGGCGCGCUACAUCGGCACCCUGAUGUAGUGGAAAAUGAGCAAGGGUCUUCGCAUUUGACUCGACGAGUGCGAAGGGUAAGGAAGCUAGCCGAGCCUAGGAGGAUCUGCUUAGGUACCUGGAACAUAGGGUCUCUGACAGGGAAGCUUCGAGAGCUAGUUGAUGCAGCGGUGAGGAGAAGUGUUGAUAUCUUUUGCGUCCAAGAAACCAAAUGGAGAGGACAGAAGGUGAAGGAGGUGGAGGAUACCGGCUUCAAGUUGUGGUACACGGGGACAGUUACAAACAGAAAUGGCGUAGGCAUCUUGAUCAACAAGAUUCUCAAGUAUGGAGUGGUAGACGUCAAGAGAUGUGGGGGCAUGAUUAUCCUGGUCAAGCUGUUAGUUGGGGACUUAGUUCUCAAUGUUAUCAGCGCAUAUGCCUCGCAAGUAGGCCACAAUGAGAACACCAAGAGGAAGUUCUGGGAAGGCCUGGAGGACAUGGUCAGGAGUGUACGGAUUGGCGAGAAGCUCUUCAUAGGAGGAGACCCUCAAUGGCCACGUGGGUACAUCUAA